rnacentral:rRNA from 1 species
GACGAACGCUGGCGGCGUGCCUAAUGCAUGCAAGUCGCACGGGGAGCUUCGGCUUCCAGUGGCGCACGGCUGAGGAACACGUGGGAACAUGCCCGUUUGUGGGGGAUAACGCGCCGAAAGGUACGCUAAUCCCGCAUACGCUCCCUUUGGGAGGAAAGCCGCAAGGCGCAGGCGGAGUGGCCCGCGGCCCAUCAGGUUGUUGGUGGGGUAAUGGCCUACCAAGCCGAUGACGGGUAGCUGGUCUGAGAGGACAGACAGCCAGACUGGGACUGAGAGACGGCCCAGACUCCUACGGGAGGCAGCAGCAAGGAAUUUUCGUCAAUGGGCGCAAGCCUGAACGAGCAACGCCGCGUGGAGGAUGACGGCUUUCGGGUUGUAAACUCCUUUUUGGGGGGACGAUGAUGACGGUACCCCCGGAAUAAGCCCCGGCUAACUCUGUGCCAGCCGCCGCGGUAAGAC